rnacentral:ncRNA from 1 species
AAAUAAAAUUUUUAUGUUUUAAAUAAAUUUAUUUAAUACUUAUUUUACAUAUAAAUUUUAGUAUGUAAUUAUAAUUAUUUUAAUAAUAUUUUAAUUUUUAUAGUAGUAAUUAAUUUUAAUAAUUUAAGAAAUUAUGAAUUAGUAAUGUAUAAAUUAUUAACAAAUUUUGUGCCAGCAGUUGCGGUUAUACAAAAAAUAAAAUAAAUUUUAUUAGUUAUAAAUAAGUAUAUUUAUAUAAAUUAAAAUAAAUAUUAAAUUAUUAGGUGAAAUUUUAAUUUAAUUAAAAUUUAAUUUAUAAAUUAUGAUUUUAUAAAUUUUUAAAAAAACUAGGAUUAGAUACCCUAUUAUUAAAAUUUAAAUAAAAAUACUAAAAUAGUAAAUAAUUAUUUAUUGAAACUUAAAUAAUUUGGCGGUAUUUUAGUUUAUUUAGAGGAAUCUGUUUAAUAAUUGAUGAUCCACGAUUAAAUUUACUUAAUUUAAUAAUUUAUAUAUCGUUGUUAAAAAAAUAUUUAAAAAUAAAAAUAAUAUUUUAAAAUUUUAAUUUUAAAUUAAAUCAGAUCAAGAUAUAGUUUAUAAUUAAGAAUAUAAUGGAUUACAAUAGAUUUAUUUAAAUGAAUAUAAAAUUGAAAAAUUUUAUUGAAAGUGGAUUUAAAUGUAAUUUUAUUUAGUUUAAUAAAAUGAUUAAAAAUUAAAAUAUGUACAUAUUGCCCGUCGCUUUCAUUUAUAAAUUGAAAUAAGUCGUAACAAAGUAGAGGUACUGGAAAGUGUUUCUAGAAAGAU